rnacentral:rRNA from 1 species
UACGUAGGGGGCGAGCGUUGUCCGGAGUUACUGGGCGUAAAGGGCAUGCAGGCGGUCGGACGCGUUUCGGGUGACAGCGGGUGGCUUAACUACCCGAGUGGUCGAAAGACGGUUUGACUUGAGGACGCGAGAGGGACACGGAAUUCCGGGUGGAGUGGUGAAAUGCGUAGAGAUCCGGAGGAACACCGAAGGCGAAGGCGAGUGUCCUGGCGCGUAACUGACGCUGAGGUGCGAAAGCCAGGGGAGCGAACGGG